GGGAGGUAGUGACAAUAAAUAACAAUACAGGGUUCUUUUGGAUCUUGUAAUUGGAAUGAGUACAAUUUAAAUCUCUUAACGAGGAACAAUUGGAGGGCAAGUCUGGUGCCAGCAGCCGCGGUAAUUCCAGCUCCAAUAGCGUAUAUUAAAGUUGUUGCAGUUAAAAAGCUCGUAGUUGAAUUUCAGGCCUGGCUGGACGGUCCGCCCUUCGGGUGAGUACUGUCUGUGGUCGGGUCCUACCUUCUGGCGAAGCGUCAUGGCCUUAACCGGCCGUGGCGGGGAACCAGGACUUUUACUGUGAAAAAUUAAGAGUGUUCAAAGCAGGCAAUCGCUUGGAUACAUUAGCAUGGAAUAAUGGAAUAGGACAAUGGUUCUAUUUGUUGGUUUCUAGGACCGUUGUAAUGAUUAAUAGGGAUAGUUGGG
rnacentral:rRNA from 1 species